AUGGCUCUUCAGGUGUGGAUGGUUGGGGAGAACGGCGAGGACCUCAAGAACCACAGGGAGCUCCUGCCUCUCUCCAAGCUCCAAGAGAUUGGUGUGUUAUAUUGGCAUUUGGACCCAAAGAAGUCUGAAAGCGAAGAAGAGCUAGCGAAGAUCCGCAAGGACAGAGGAUACAACUACAUGGAUUAUCUCGAUAUAUGCCCUGGAAAGUUGGCAAACUUUGAGGAGAAGCUCAAGAACUUCUUCACAGAGCACAUGCAUGCCGACGAAGAGAUCCGCUACUGCUUGGAAGGCGGCGGGUACUUUGAUGUGCGCGACAAGGAUGACAAGUGGGUUCGGAUCUGGAUAAAAGAAGGGGAUAUGAUCGUGCUGCCGGCUGGAAUUUAUCAUCGGUUCACCCUCGACGCCGCCAACCAUGUGAAGCUCAUGAGGCUCUUCCUGGGAGAACCAGUGUGGACCGCGCACAACCGGCCUCAGGAGGACCAUCCGGUGCGGCAAGAGUAUGUCAAGAGGCUCACGGACGACAAUGCUGGUCUUGCUCUGGCAGCACACUGA
rnacentral:rRNA from 1 species